rnacentral:hammerhead_ribozyme from 1 species
AUUCAUCUGACGAGUCCCAAAUAAGACGAAACGGACGUCUUAGAU